rnacentral:rRNA from 1 species
GCUUAGCCCUUAACAUAGACAGUUAUCACACAAUACUGUCCGCCAGAGAACUACAAGUGAAAAGCUAGAAACUCAAAGGACUUGGCGGUGCUCCAUACCGACCUAGAGGAGCCUGUCCUAUAAUCGAUAAUCCACGUUUUACCUUACCACCUCUCGCACAUCAGCCUAUAUACCGCCGUCGUCAGCCUACCUUAUGAAAGAGCCAAAGUAGGCAAAACAGUUAACAACUAAAACGUCAGGUCAAGGUGUAGCACAUGGGGUGGAAGAGAUGGGCUACACUUUCUUCUACAGAACAUACGAACAGCACCAUGAAAACAGUGCUCAAAGGCGGAUUUAGUAGUAAGACAAAAAAGGAAAGUUUGCCUGAAACCCGCUCUGGGG